GGGUGGGACUUUGGGGGCAGGUAUAGCUUGACUCCACUCCAGCUCUCUCUUUGCUUCUAGAAUGCCAGUGCCACCAGACAGAGCAUAAAGCAGUGGUGGUUGCUCAACAGAGGCUGUCUUCCACCUGUCUUGUGAGAAACCUGGCUCUUCCAUGUGGUUUUCGUGCUGCAGUAAAACCUCUGAGAGGAAGACGGCAGAGUAGAAGAAGGUUUGCAGAAGGCCUCCGAUGGAUCCCCGGCAGGGUUGCUUGUCUAUGCCAGCUGGAUGAAGCUAGAGAAGGACACGCGCUUUUUCUCACUGAAGCCUGUCUUCCCCAGCUCCUAGGAGGUGGGAUGGGUUUGGUCCCUGCCAGCCUUUUCCUCUGUAACAAUCUCCCCUGUGUGUGCAGUUGUUCUUGAACUCAGGUCACAGCUCUCAUUGAGAUACCGCUUUCUGGAGUGUGCCGCCUGGAUGCUCACAUGCAGGUCUGUCAGCAAAUUCCCUGAGGCUCGUAGGCUCACGCCAUCACAGCUGCCUCCCACUUAGAGAAGAGGAACCCUAGCUGGUCCUGGUCAAUCUCACCCUCCUUCUCUGUCCGAACAGCAGGCCUUACCGUGAAGAAUGAGUGAAACAAA